CCAGCUUCCUCCAGACCAGAGAGAGCGCUGGGUGUCUCCUGUGGCUGGCGGCCUGCCUGAGAGGAGAAGUGGCUUCUGGUGUAAAUGGGUGAGGAAACAUGGGCACAGAGAGGUCAAGCAACUUGUUUAAUGUCACCCAGCCAGUUAAGUGGAGCCGGGACCUGAACCCAGCCCAUGGAGUCCCCAAACCCUCAUGCUCUGCUGCCUUACACAUGAGCUGAGAUGAGCAUGGAUGGAAGAGAG